rnacentral:misc_RNA from 1 species
UUUUUCUCCUUUUUUUUUUUUUGUUAAUUUGUUGUUUCAUAUUGUUUAUUAUAUGGGCACUGUGAUAUGCAUUUUGUUAUUGUCAAUUGUGAUAUGACUUUUAUUAAAUGAAUAUUGUGAAUUUCAUUAGAAUGGUUAUUUAAUUUAAUUUUAAAAUGAUAUAGGUCCUAUUAAUUAGAGGUUUGAUACGCUCCACUUGGGUUACGAUAAAUGGGUAUUGUGCAUUGUCCAUUGUGACAUGACUUUAGUUAAAUGGGUAAUGCGUAUUUGCAAAUGGUUAUUAAAUUUUAAAAUGGUUUAGUUCCUUUUGGUUUAGGAUAAAUGAGUAUUGUCAAUUGUGGUAUGAUUUUUAUUAAAUGGUAAUUAUGUAUUUGCAAAUGGUUAUUUAAUUUUAAAAUGGCUUAAGCUCCUCUUGGUUUAGAAUAAAUGGGUAUUGUCAACUGUGAUAUGAUCUUUAUUAAAUGGGUAUUAUGUAUUUGCAAAUAGUUAUUCAAUGUUAAAAUGGUUUAGGUACUAUUAAUUGAAGGUAGACAUAGGAAACCCUGUCGCCUAUCGCCUUAAUAACAAUAACCAUGAGUGAGUAGUUUUCUUGUUCAAUGGAGAAGAUUGUUGAAACCAUGAAACAAUUAUCAUAAGAAAAUUUUAAGCUAUCAAUUAAAUCAGCAUUUUCUUCACUUUAUCUAUGCAUUCUCUUGUAAUUCAUCAAAAGAUGGCAUGUGUGAUUGAUCAAGAACACUACUAUUUGAUUAUGCAUGUUGAUCUAAUGGUAGUUAGAAUGAUUAAGUCCGUAAUUGCUUGCCUAACAUACAUAGCAAAGGUAAUAUUGUGUGAAUUAAUCAUAUUGCUCAGAGAUUCAUACACUAGGUUAAAUAUUAUGCCACUUGUUGUACAAUUGUUACCUAAAAUUGGUAAUACCUCUCUAGUGUUUUAAGAGCUGCCAUUGAGGUAAAUCUUGCGCAUGACUAAGGUUGUUGAAUUAGUUAGGGGUUAAUUAGAUGCUUGCUUUGAUUAAUCUAAUAAGGAAAGACAGGGAAAUCAACACUUGUUUAGUUUCUAUAGCAAAUUUGUUUAAGUGAAUAAAUUUAUGCAUUAUUAUCAAUGAUUUAUAAUUAAUUUCCAUGGUAGAUACAUAUAUCUCUACUGAGCCGUUUACCAUAUAGUGUUUUUCAUAUUUAGUUGCAUUCUUGUUACUUUGAUCAUUAGUGAUUUGCAUACCUUUAGUUUUUAGUUUAAUUUACUUAGAAUUAUGUUAGCAAACCUUUGAAGUUUUACACUCAUGGGUGAAAGAAAAGAAUAGAAGGAGAUCAGGUCCAAGUCAAUUCUGACAGUUGAGAUAGUGCUGCCACAUUCUUAGUGCCGCUGCUAUAAUGCUGCCAUGUUCUUAGUGCUGCUAGUGCUGCUAGUGCUGCUGUUACGAUCAUGCCAUGUUGUCAUUUUUUAAUUGUUAGUUCGAGAAGUAAAUACCACAUUUCAGUUAUUAUUUUUAUCUUUAUUUCCUUAAUUGUAGGAGGGUGAUCCUAGAUGUUUAUUGUUCCUUGUCUUUAGGAAUUGGUUAUCUCUUCUCUUUUGUAUUUAAGUGCAGCACAUCAAUAAAAGAAGUACCACAAAAUUUCCAAAGUUGUUUGAGCACUUUAAGAGAAACAAGUUCUCUAAUGAGCUUU